CAAACAUCAGGGAAAUAUUUUCCCUUCCCUUCUUCUUUCUCAUGCAGGCAGAGUUUGAACUCUUACAGUCUGAACUGCAAGACAGGCAAUCUUCUAUCUGGAAAGAUACUGGGACAUUCUGGGCACACAACUUGUGCUCCUUCAAACAAAAGGACAGCACAAGAAGCAGAAAAUAAGAGGUCACUACAAUGCCAAGGCAGAAUUCAGUGUCAUUGAGUAGGACUGAGCUUGUGUGGAACUGAGGGGAUGGCAGAGGUUCUGCAUGCCAUGGAACAGAGCUAAUGUGGAAAAUGUCAGGCUCUUCCAGAUAUCCAUCAGGGGCUUGGAGAGAAUUCCUCAAAUAGCUGCUCAGUGAACAGCUUGCUGAAAUAGUAGUGAACUGAUUAAAAUAAGUAUUUCUGGGGGUACAGCUGGAACACAAUAAAAUAAUACAUAAAGACAGCUCUAAAUAAACUUGGCAGGGUCUAGAAACAAAGCCAUCAAGUCAGAACACAAAUCUUCUUGUACUCCUUUGGAGCUUCCCAUUCCCAAACUGACUCAUGUGUGUCUGCAGUCCUUCCUGGUGUGGUCUCCUGUGGAUAAUGCAGGGAGACAUGGGAACAGCAGCUCCCCUGGGCACAGGGAGUGUGCCCAGAGUGGGAAAGCAGAAACUCAAAAGGAGGAUUCAGCUCAGGCCACUGCAAAGCAUCUUAUUCCUCCAGCCCUGAGCUGAGGGAGUGCACACAGUGUAUUUUGUACUGGUUUGCAGCCAGGGACUGCUACAGUUCAUUUGACAUAAGAGAAUGGAUCUUCCCUAAAAUAAUUUCUGGGAAAGAGAUGUUUUGACAUAAAGCCACUGGAUUUUCAGACUGCAUGAGAAGGUUCUCCUGACUGGUUCAUGCUCAGCUGGUCAUUGAAAGCAGCUGCCUUCUUUAUGAUUCCCCUUUUUUUGUUCUCUCAAAGAUCUCUCAAGAUUCACAACACGAGGUGUGGGCAGGGACAGCAGGUGCUGUGCUGACAUUGGGCUUACAGAACAUUCUGGAAUUAAAAAAAAACCCUUCAGCCCACGUUUAGGCUCUUUCAUUAUUUCCAAAGUGGGAGCUGGCAGGUGCAGUGGCACUUCCUUCAUGAGGCACUGGAAAAAUCUGGCCCUGCUCUGGUACCAGUGAAAUGCAAGUGAAAAGGAACUGGGCAGAUUGUCCAUCUCUGCCUGAGGGCUGCAGCAAACCAAGAACCCAGGCAGGAGCAACAACCUGCUCUGGCAGAUUCCUGGCUGGAGUCUGAACCAACAGGUAACAGCUCUGGGGAGGGGAAGCAGGGGAUGGGGAAGAGAAGGGAGAGGAGCAAGAGAGAAUGAUUUGCCAAUCAGAGAUGUAAAUCCCUUUAUACUGGGGAAUGCAGAUGCAGUGCCUUCUUCCAAGGUGCUCAAAUGGCCUCUUAAAAAAAAACCCAAAACAAAAUAUCGGUUCAGUCAGAUUUGAAAGAGAGAACAACCCAGCUGAAUAAAUUAUUUGGGACAGAAGAACUUCUGUAGUACUUCAGACCUACAGCAAUAAAAUUUGCUUUGAUUUUGACUUCCUUCUAUCACAAACUUUAGGUAACACUGAAGUAGCCAAAGACAUUAAAAACGGGGGUGAGGAACACGUGGGUUCCACACAUAAUUGGAGAUAAACUGACUAUCUCAGGCCUCCUGCUCAAAGGUCUGAGACCCCACUAUCACCUCUGUUCAAUAAUUUGGGCAUUCACACUGAAAAAAAUUCCCUGUUAUUAGCAGGUAAUGUUUAUAACACCAGGGUUUCAGAAUGGGAGAAGCCACUGCUCAUUAAGUGGUGCAAACCAAGUCCUGUAAUUCCCAAUUCUCCAUCCCAAAAGGCAGGAUUGGAACAUGCAGGUUAUUAGAGAGCAGAAAUAAGAACACUGAUAAUGUGAGGAAAUAGGAAACUUUUAGAAUAAAUCACAUUUAUCCAAUUAAAAAUAAACCCAGAACUUUCCCCUUAAAACAAAACUGGAUGUUCUCCUAUGAAAGCCAGGACAGUGGUUUCUGAAGGAACAUGGAUAUUGAUUAAUAAGGUCAAGGGUGCAUUAGAGACAGCAAAGAUGAGACCAAACCCCUGGAAGCUUCCCCAAACAACACUGAUUCUGCAGCUGCAGGCUCCCAGAAUCACAUUGUCCUUUCCAUGACGAGUAGCAGCAACUGGGAGGCUGCAUUCCCAAAUCCAAAGGUUUGGAGGGAUAAAAGAAAGGGGAAAAAAAUCUGGUUUUCCUAAGGAAAAAAGCACAGCCCCUCUAGGUUUGAGUGAGGACUUUAGUCUGAAGAAAGCACAAUGUCCUACCUGAGAAAGGGGCUCACUUGCAGUGACUCUGAGCUGGAGCUCCCUCGGUCCUGGAGCAGGACAGCCCCGACUUAAAUUUGGAAAUGGCAGCGAUUCAAGCAAGUGUCCAAUGCCAGCUCAGCCAGGGCUGCCUCUAAAAACAAACCUUGGGAAUACAGGCUCUGACCUUUCCAGUGGAGGGGGGGAAUUUAACCCCCAGAAUGAGAAGAUAGAAGUGAAUUCAAACUUCUGAAAGCAGUAAAAACUCCUAGGGAGGAUUGCAGCAAUUGAGACAGAGCUCCUCAUUCCAAACAGGAGAAGGAGAACAACAACUCAACUGGAAUUCUCAGAAGUUGCCAACACGCAGGCAUUACCUGAAGCAUCACCCAAGGAAACCCUCUGUUGUAUCCCAGCAGUCAUUCAGUGCAUCCUGCCCAAGUUCUUCCGUAAUUGUUAUGCAAAACAACAACCUCAAUCCAUGCUGCAGCAAGAAGGGGAAAAAUACGUUUCCAUCACCCAAAAACCACCCUGGAAUUGAGGAAUUAUCUGCUCCUCCACCUGGUGUAGUGGAAGGUGUCGCUGUCCUUGGCAGGGGUAGAAUGAGAUGGGAUUUAAGGUCCUUUCAACCCAAACCAGCCUAGGAUUCUAUUAAAUCGUCUUCUCAUUAAUCUUCCUGCCACUUUUACUCAGUUACAAAUUGCAAUUCCACCCUCCCACGCGGAAUUCCUCUAUUGGUGUUUGGGACAGAAACAAAGGUGGCCCGAUUAGAAAACUGAAGCAUUUAUUGUUCCAAAGAAAGUAUUUUGCAUGUAUUUACCAAAUCAGGUACCACCUAAACCUCCGUGAGAACAUGACCGCCGGCUGUCUCUCUGAUUUAUCUAUAAUUAGGUAUUUAAUGUCAGUACCAGCGGUGAACUCUGUCCCGGAGAGCGCAGCGUGUCCCUGCGCGCACCAGCGCCGCGUUCUCCCGACCUCUCCCGCAUUUCCCAGCCCCCCGGCCCUCUCAGGGCCGAACCCGCAGCUCCCCGGCCCCUCCCGGGUGUCCCCCGGCCCCUCCUGUCCCUCCCUGUCCCCUCCUGUCCCCACCUGGCCGCCGCCGUCACCAUGGCCACCGCCGGAAGUGGCGCCCGGGGCACUUCCGCCCGGACUCCGCUCCGCCGUGACACAACCGGAAGUUGUUCAGGAGAGCUGCUGCCCUCACCUGUCCGCCCGCCUAUGCAGCCCGGCCGGGCAGCAGCGCUGCCAAACAGGGGUUCCGCCCUCUCGGGGUUCCUCUCCGGGUGGGCAUUGCCCUCAGUCCCAGAAUCCCAAAAUCCCGAAGGGGUCAGGCUGGAAGGGACUGUGGGGGAUGUGGUUCAGCCUCCCUGCUCAGCAGGGCCAUCCCAGAGCACGGCACAGGAUUGCACCCAGGCAGCUCUGGAAUCUCCCCCGUGAGGGAGGCUCCACAUCCUCUCUGCUCUCUGCUCAGAGCUCGGGCACCGCACGGGGAAAUUUCUUCUCAUCCAGGUGGAACCUCCUGGCCAUCAGAUUGUGUCCAUUCCUCCUGUGCCAUUGCUGGGCCCCACGGAGCAGAUCCUGGUCCAUCUCUGACCCCUCCCUGCACAUCCUGAAUUCCCAGCUGCAAUGAUCCCUGUUUUACGUGCUCAUUGCUGAUUGCGCCAACUUAAAUUUCUGUUUUCUUUGAUAUCUCCACAUGAAAACUGAAGAUGAGAAAAAGCUCGGCUGGAAGGGAACCCCAUGGGUCACCAACUCCUGGCCCUACACAGGACUUCCCCAAAAUCCCACCCUGUGCCUGAGAGUGACAUUGGCACAGGACAGGGCUGUGCAAGGCGUGACUGUGAGGAUCAGUAAAUUCCUGUAGGAGAAAAGUGGCAUUUCUGCAGAGCCUCUUUCAAAUCCAUGAUGGGGAAAACCACGAUUUCUCUGCUCUUCCACAAGCUCUGUACAGAAAUGGGGCCUGAAUGUUCUGCAGUUGUGCAGCUGUAAAUCCCCUGAUAUCCCUGGACAAAUAAUAAAGGACAGCAGUUCUUUGAAAGAUGGUUUUAUCAUCAA